rnacentral:sRNA from 1 species
UACAUAUAUAUAUAUAUUCCAUACUCCAUUCUAGAAAAUAGCUGUGGCAUCAGCAGAGUCAUAUGACUGCUUAUAGAUAAAAGGAAGAAUAAUAUAGAAUUGAAGGAUGGACUUAGAAAGGUCACCUACCUAAAAAAAUCAAUAACUGCUUCAUAAGUUUAUCAAAGAUGCCCUAUAUUUGAAAAAAAAAUGCAUCUUCCUUUCAUGUAAGCCAGUAUGAAUGUGACAGCUUACUUUCUUCCUGCUUAGUCAAUAGUCUGGGUUUGAUCUUCCAUUGUCCUUGAAUGUCCUGGGACAUUUUUCCUAUUAAACUUCUACCACAUUUCUCCAUGCUACUGUGCUUUAUUGGUGCAAACUCUAAUGGAUAAGGGAGAGGCCUGCCAUUCUACAAUAAGUGUCUAUUGCAUGCCAUUUUGUAGUCAAAAAUCUAAGCUGUGAUUAUCUCUACUACCAAGUGAAUAGAUCAUUUGGUGUUCAAUUCAGCAGGUAAAAUUUCCCCACUUAUUCCAAGAAUGGAGAAGCUAGUAGAGAAUUUGGGGUCUAUUAAAUCUUUGGAAAUGUCGGGAAAAGAAGGACAUAAAGUUAUCACUGAAUUACUGAAAGAAGGGCCUCACCUGGGAAUCACUGUAAAAUAAGCUUCCCUGUGCUGAUUGCCAUUUGAAAUAGAGAAAACAGCGACUUGCUGCUCGCUCAAGUAAAGCAAGUCUGUGAGAGGCUUUAUUGUGCAUUGCGAGGUGCAUCUUUUCAGGUAAUGAGGUGUGAGAGUGACUGAUAAGCACACACGAUGUGGAAGAGAACAAAAUAAUAAAACAAGCAGGUUCGCCUAGGUAAUGAUUGCAUAAAACAAAUACGUGAAAUUCUUUACUAAAAAUGUCUGAUAUGGAGACUUGAAAAAAUUUGAAGGCACCACCCUGCCAAAUAUCCAAAAGCCUGGAAUUAUAAGUUAAUUUAAUUCUUUAACCAUCUUGCUAAAGUUACUGAAAAAAAUGAACAUGUAAGAUAAAAUAUAAAUGCGUGACUUGUAUAAUUUAGUAUGUAACACCUUCCUUUUGUAGGUAGACUUAAGAAAGUCUAUACAUUUUCUUGUCGAAAUCCUUUAUCGGAGAGUUUUAUGAGGGCAAUAGAAAAUGAGUUUAAUGUGAUAAAGCUACUCUUAAAUAGCUCUCUGAUCUACAUUAUUUUGCUUGAUACAUUCAACAUAUUUUUUUACAUCUAUUGUGUAGAUUGAAAAACUGAAAUUUGGCCUGGAAAGAUAACUCAAUUAAUGGAGCAUGGGGUUAACAUGAGCACAACAUUGAGCUUGAUUCCUUACCUGGCAUAAUAUGUGUGUGGUUGGUAACACAUGCUUGUAAGCUCAGCAUUUGAGAAUUGGAAAUGGGAGAAUCAGAAGUCAAGCCCAUUAUACCAUGUGUUAAUAUUAUUCUCAACUCCCUUGAAAGUAUCUACCUAUGGACUCAUUUCCUGACCUCUGCGUGUGUCUGAAGAUUCAAAGAUUUGCAAAAAGUAUUGAGCCUCAGGAGGACCUGUCACAUCUACGAUGGAAUGUUAUCCACAGUGCUCAGUGUUCAUUGCUGUAGUAGGAAUGACAUACCUGGAGGCCAGUGGUAAAGCCUAGUCUUAAAAGAAAAAAAAAAGACAAUUAAAAUGGAAGGAGCCAUUUCUUUGAUGGAGGACCUUAUGCCGAGUGUGGUGUUGGUGGUAGUCCUGCUGGGAUUGCUUCCUCAUGGAGUUUUGCAGAAUUGUGGGUCAGCCUGACCUGUGCACGUGUUUUAUGCAGUCUCUUCUGCAGCAGAAUAGUUAAAAAGAUGCUGGAAUCUGGAAGCUGUUGGAGUUGUGGCCCUGGUCUUGUCAACCUCAAGCUGUGUGACUGGACACAUUGCUUAAUGUAUCUGUCUUGACUUCCCUCAUUUACAAAAUGAUCAGGUAUGCGAAAAUUUCCCAGGCAAUGGCGGCUGUGGUCAUGAAGCUUUUCCUAUGAUAUGAUUUCUGUGCUGCAGACCAGCUUCUUCUCAAGCAGUCUGGGCUGAGUCUUCAUCCCAACCCCCCUCAUCCCAAUGCUUGGCUAUUAUAAGUGCCUCAGAGAAUUAAGUUUUACUUCAUCAGAGAAAAAGUCCACUGGGUGAUUAGCUGUACAUCCUCUUCAGUUCUUGACCUGGUAAAGCUGGUUUAUGAUAUAGAUCAUUUUAUAUUUUUU